GUUUAUUUUUGUCAAUGAAGUCCUGACUCAAAUGAAGGAAAGAGGGUCCUGUGAGAUUCAGUCUAUGGUUAAGCACUCUCCAACCCAGAUCAGUCAGUGGGCUGCCCACAAAAGUAAAGAACCAGUGUGAGAGUUUGAAGAAAGAAUCCGCUCAGAGGACUGAGUCUCAAGCAAAAGCUCCAGGUUGCAGACUCAGAAAGAAACUUCCUUUGGGGAAGGAUCUGCUUCCAGGAUUUGCUCGUCUCUUUUUCCUUGGGCAAACAAAGUUCUUGAAGCAAACAACAGGGUUGCAGGACACCUUCUAACCUUUAUACUGCAUCACAAGCCUUCAGCAGAAGAUCUUGAGAGCCAUUUAUGUUGCUGGAAGAUGACUGGGUUUGGAUCUUGGCCUUCCUUAAGCAGGAUCUUCUGACAAAAGUGGGAUUGGGAAAGAAAUGACUCCUUUUUCCAUCACACAGAGCCACCCUAGAAAUGGAGGCCUAGGCAGAACACUACUUCUAAUGCAUCAUUCUUUAGGAAAUUCGUUUGGCCUUCCACAGUCCUUUUGUUACUAUGUCAUAAAGAUGUCUUUUAUAAAACCUAAACCUGGCAUCUUCCUAUCUGAAGAUCAAGUCAAUAAAUACAAGUUUAAGAAUUUAAAGGUCUAAUAAUGUGAUCGGAUCUUGCUGUCCCCUUCAUAGGAGAUGCCAUGUGAAUCUGUGAAACAGGGUUCUGCUGUGGUUCAGACUGUUAUUUUUGUAAAGCCUUUUCUACUUAUAGUCCAUUUAAAUGAUUAGAAAUAAUUUUAAUAAAGGUUCUUGUGAAAAUGGUAUUUAAUUAGGCUUCUACCUCUCCAAGUUUACUUAAAAAAUAAAUUUGAGUACCAAAAAUGUCACAAUGGCAAUAUGGGAAGUACUACAUCUUUUGAGGUUUCCUGUGGUUUUGUGUCGUGAGAAGGUACGUUGGAAGUGUUGAGAGCUAUGAAAGUGGAAAAGCUUAGAUAAUUUUUUUUUUUCUUUAAGAGUGAAAAGCUAUUUGUUAGAAAACGGAAAGCUUUUAAUUGUUUUCCCCCUAAGGGAUUCUAUAGUCAAACUUAAUUAAAUAUCUUGUGAGAUCUCAAAUAAAAACCUUAUGUUUGGCAGCAGCGAACAACACACACACAUGCAAGUGUACUUUUGUUCUUUUCGCUAUAGGAAAUUAGUUUUGAAGAAUAGGAAUUACUUGUAAUGUUCAGUUUAGGAAAGAGGAAAGCUUUAUUCUGAAGCUGAGUGUGAGAAGGGGUGGCAGGAGCGUGAACCAGACCCUCUGGCAGUAGGUAAAGAGCACUUUUAUUUUCCUGUUUUCUGCUUCUAUCAGUUGGAGUAAACUAGUCAGAUGCUUGUGCUUGAAUCCAAUUAAUUUCUUAAAUCAGUUACCACAAACAUUGGUUUUUAACUAAUGCCUAGAUCUUUCAUUAAAUUUGCCAGCGUAUUUAAAUUGUUGAACAGUCUUAAUGUAGCCCUGAGGCUACUGCUUCAUGGCAGUUGUGACUUCUUACUAUGCUGGAAUGCAUUUCAGUCUUAGUACAUUCUAAAAAUAAUUGUUCAGAUGGUGGUAUUUAAGGACAUACUUAUGUAGUGAGCCAUUUUCACUGGACUUUCUGAAAUUUGGCAUUCUGUUGGAUGGCUUUUUAAUACCCUUUUUUUUGCUGUGAAUUUCAAACUUCUUUGUCUUGCUACUUCUGUGGUUAUGGAGUAAAACGCUAAAUUUAUAACCAGGUAUUUUUAGAAAACUGAUAGUCAGAUGUGUGUGUUAAACUAUGCAACUACAGUAACACUUGUGAACUUUGAAGUUUAAAGAUAAAUCAGUUUAAUGUAUCAAAUUCAAUACUUUCUAAUAUGUGGAAAUACAUAUGUGAUGACCUUAAAAUUGAGUAGCUGUUACAGGUAUAGACAUGAAUUGUGUGCCAAACGGGAGUAAUCUAGAAGUUAUAAAAUGAAGAGCUGUGAGUCUCAGAAAUAAAUACUAACAUCAGUGGCUAGAGAUUUGUGCCAGCAGUGCUUUUUGUUGAAAAUACCUGUUUUUCUAACUUCUAGUCUGUGUAGGGUUUGAUAUCUUCUGUGGCUUCCUUAAUAGGUGUACUUGUCUCAGCCACAGUUUUUGGUCAUUUUGUUCUGUACUAUAAGGUAAAUUCAAGACCAUCAAAUACUUAUGCACACUGAAUACUUAUAGUAGAAUAACAGGGGCACUGAGAACUGUUUCUAAUGUUAUCAUCUCAGUUGCUAAAAUUGCUCCCUCCCAUAGUUACAAUUGGGGAAAAAACCCCAAAAAACCUGUGGUUGUUCUACAGUCAGUAUUUUGAUACUUUUGUCUCUCAGCAUUGUGUUAGCCUACUACUAUCAUGCUCUGAGUUUUCCAGCUGAAAUCCUGGGUUCUUUAGCGCAAUAACUCCUGCCUUUGUGUUAUUAAAUAAUAAAGAUGUCUAAAACCA